ACACAUGCAACAUUAUCAACUGUUAUUUGACAUCCUCCUAUUCUUUGAUUUACAUGACCUUCAUAACUCACUCUAUUUAAUAUGUACAUGCCAAAAUAAAACUAUACUAUGCCUCAGAGACUCAAAACAACCAGCUAUGAUAAUGGCCUUGAUAUCUGAUGUAGACCUCUGAUGAACUUCGCGUGCCUACUCUAUUUACAACCUGCGUGAGGUAAAAACCAACACGCUGAGCUAAUGCUCAGUGGGUGAUAGCAAAUAAAUAACAAAAUAGAGUAAACAAGUUCACUUAUAUAGAUAAUCAGGUAAACAAGUACAAGCUAGUAGAUGCAAACAUAUUAACACUCACUAAUAAGUUCACCAAAAUCAAGUAUCAAUCUUAAUUAAGAUCUUAGCCCUUAUAAACACAUAGUAGGAUCGACUAGGUAGAUAAGGAGUUAUAACGGUAGGCACAGGGUGCCGAACGGUAGGCUCAGAGGCCAAAACUGUGAUAGCAGGGCUCUGUGGCCAUGUUUAUGAGGUACCAGAUAUGUAACCUCAAAUAUAGAUCAUGUAUCGGUAGCAGUACUGCGAACUCUGUAUGUUUAUAUGGCAUGCCAUACCCUUAAGCUAACCUCGACUCCUAUUACGUUUACCAGGGCCAAGUAUCAUUAAUUCAAUGUAAAUGCACAUCAUGUGAAGCUAUUUGAAUUCAUUUUCCAAAGUACAUAUAUCAUAUGCCAAGGUUUACAAUAUGGAAAACUCAUGGCAAAUAGUGCAAAACUUUAUUGACUUAGCAUUUCAAUAUAGAAAACUACAUUCUGCCAUAUAUUGCAUAAACUUUUCAAGCAGUUAGAGUGACAAUUUGACUUCAGGUUCUACAUAAGAAAUGUAUAUUUAUGUCUUAUCUUUCCAACAAGGUAUGGUUCAUACAAAUCUGAUCAUCCUAGCUUAAGUUAUGAAUUUUUCUUUACAAGCUGCUCAAUAAGGUCUUAAUCAGUCCAGUAUUGGUACUUGUUUAUAGUAUCACAAAACUUAUCAGAUUCAUGCAUUUCCAUACAAAUUCAAGCUUAAGUAUCUUCUACAAAGUUUUAGGUAUACUUCUUAAGAUUCAUUUGGCACUGGUCUUACCAAAUUUCACUGAGUAUGUAAUUAGUUAUGGUAUAAUCAAUAGACUCUGUUCCGGAUGCACUACUACUGUGUCCAGUUUAGGUUCACUUGCAAUUUUCAUCAUCUUACCCACAGAUUCAGAAUUUUGUCAAUUCAUGAAAGUUUUAUCUCUUUGUCUUAGCUUUCAUUUGGUAUAUCUUAGGACUAAUUUAAAUAUUUACACAAUAAGUUAUAACGUUGUAAACACAAGCUGCCCUGGUACAACCUAUUCUGCCAGAUUUACACUUUUAGCUCCCAUGUUAAAUUUCUUUACUCCAAGCCUUUCAAACAUCAUUUUAACAUUCAUAUAACAUAUUUAUACAAUCAAAGCAACAUUUCCAGCAAGUAAAAUUAACCCCUAAUUUCACUUAUUCAUGGCAGAAUCAAAGGAAAACAGAAAAUCAAAGAAACACCAAACCUUUCUUGAAUUCCUCUUUCUUUUCCUCUUCUAUUCUCUAGCUAUCUCCUUUCCUUUUGAUGUUCCUUCACCUAUGUCAAUUUAUAUCUUAGGUAAGGAUUGAAUAAAUUGUAAAUUAAAGCUUUAUAAGUCAAAUUCAUGCAUGAAGAAAUGAGUAGAUGUUAUUUCCUACACCUUUCUAAGCUUACCUUUGAUUUUCAAGCUUGGUGUAUAUGGAACCCUAAACGUUUCUUCUUCAAUUCCUUCAAUAUAUGGCUGUUCCUUUAGCUCUUGGUCUUAGGAUAAAUGAAAAAGAGGAGACUCUGCAAAAAUUUUGGUUUAAACAUUUACCUUAAUCGCUUUAUAAAAUUUACUUGGACUAUCUAAAACUUGGUAUUUACAGAUAAAGAAAAUUGUUUAGUCUUGAUAUGUCUAAAAGGUAUAGUUUGUGACAGACCUUGCUUUAUCUACACUUGAUAGGGUAAGGGGUGUUACAAUUAGUGGUAUCAGAGCAUAGGUUUAGGCGGUUCUAGGUCAUAGUAUGUAUGUGUAGAUGCAUAGUAUAUGUACAUGCCAAAAUGAGUUACAGCUAUGAUAUGGUUCUGAUGUAAAUCUCUUCUUUUUGUGUUUAGGUCGUAUAUAAGAUGUCAUCUGACUCACAGAGAGCAAUAGAUGAGGAGGUAGAGAGUCAUGCUCCCUCUGAGGCAGCUGCACCUGCUGCUACUCCUCCACCUGCUGCUGCUGGCGGACUAGGGCAGGAUGCAUUAUUUCAGCAAAUCGCUGAGUUGCUUAGGAGGGUUACACAAAAUGUACCAGAGGUACCACCACCACCACCUGUAGCAGUCCAGGUUCCCCCACCUGUGGUAGCUAGGCCUCCAAUAGAAAAACUCAGAAAGUAUGGUGCAACAGAUUUUAGAGGUAAAAAGGAAGAUGAUCCUUCAGCUGCAGAAUUCUGGUUAGAAAGUACAGAAAGGGUUUUACAGCAGCUACAGUGUUCACCAGUAGAUAGCUUGAUGUGUGCAGUAUCAUUGCUAAAAGAUGAAGCGUAUCGAUGGUGGACAACUUUAACACAGAUGGUUCGACCAGAGCGCCAGACUUGGGAAUUCUUUUUGUCAGAGUUUAAGAAGAAGUAUGUUGGGGCCUUAUAUAUAGAGGAGAGAAGGAGGGAGUUCUUAUACCUCAGACAGGGCAGGCUUACAGUAACUGAGUACGAGCGAGAAUUUGUCAGACUUAGUAAGUAUGCCACAGAGAUAGUUCCUACAGAGGAAGAAAGAUGUAAACGCUCAUCCACAUUUUACCCUAUAGCAUAUAUGAAAAACACAUGCAACAUUAUCAACUGUUAUUUGACAUCCUACUAUUCUUUGAUUUACAUGACCUUCAUAACUCACUCUAUUUAAUAUGUACAUGCCAAAAUAAAACUAUACUAUGCCUCAGAGACUCAAAACAACCAGCUAUGAUAAUGGCCUUGAUAUCUGAUGUAGACCUCUGAUGAACUUCGCGUGCCUACUCUAUCUACAACCUGCGUGAGGUAAAAACCAACACGCUGAGCUAAUGCUCAGUGGGUGAUAGCAAACAAAUAACAAAAUAGAGUAAACAAGUUCACUUAUAUAGAUAAUCAGGUAAACAAGUACAAGCUAGUAGAUGCAAACAUAUUAACACUCACUAAUAAG
rnacentral:lncRNA from 1 species